AAAUGAAUUGACGGGGCCCGCACAAGCGGUGGAGCAUGUGGUUUAAUUCGAAGCAACGCGAAGAACCUUACCAGGUCUUGACAUCCCUGACAACCCGAGAGAUCGGGCGUUCCCCUUCGGGGGACAGGGUGACAGGUGGUGCAUGGUUGUCGUCAGCUCGUGUCGUGAGAUGUUGGGUUAAGUCCCGCAACGAGCGCAACCCUCGACCUUAGUUGCCAGCAUUCAGUUGGGCACUCUAAGGUGACUGCCGGCUAAAAGUCGGAGGAAGGUGGGAUGACGUCAAAUCAUCAUGCCCCUUAUGACCUGGGCUACACACGUGCUACAAUGGUUGGUACAACGAGUUGCGAGUCGGUGACGGCGAGCUAAUCUCUUAAAGCCAAUCUCAGUUCGGAUUGUAGGCUGCAACUCGCCUACAUGAAGUCGGAAUCGCUAGUAAUCGCGGAUCAGCACGCCGCGGCGAAUACGUUCCCGGGCCUU
rnacentral:rRNA from 1 species